CCUACGGGAGGCAGCAGUGAGGAAUAUUGGUCAAUGGGCUUACGCCUGAACCAGCCAAGUCGCGUGAGGGAAGACUGCCCUAUGGGUUGUAAACCUCUUUUGUCAGGGAGCAACGCCGGCUACGUGUAGCCGGACUGAGAGUACCUGAAGAAAAAGCAUCGGCUAACUCCGUGCCAGCAGCCGCGGUAAUACGGAGGAUGCGAGCGUUAUCCGGAUUUAUUGGGUUUAAAGGGUGCGGAGGCGGAAUGCCAAGUCAGCGGUAAAAUCGCGGGGCUCAACCUCGCCCCGCCGUUGAAACUGGCGUUCUGGAGUGGGAGAGAAGUAUGCGGAAUGCGCGGUGUAGCGGUGAAAUGCAUAGAUAUCACGCAGAACUCCGAUUGCGAAGGCAGCAUACCGGCGCCCAACUGACGCUGAAGCACGAAAGCGUGGGUAUCGAACAGGAUUAGAUACCCGUGUAGUC
rnacentral:rRNA from 1 species